AAGGCUCUGGCUUUUCUUACCCAGACAGACUCUGCCACCGCUGCUGUUAACAGCUCCGUUACGCCUGGUGAUUGAUCCACAAAAGUGACACACCAAGUUUAUUCAUCCACAAGUGUUUGCUAACCUGUUCUGAUUCUGAUCAUAUAGACAUGAAGACCUCUCCUCUGGGAUGACAACAUAUCAGGUCAUCCUCCCUCCAAGAACAUCUUUUUCAUUCGCAGUCAUCGCUGUUGUCAAGGUCUUCUCCUUUUAUUCCCUCCAUCAGUUCUUAAGGACCAUUGAUCACAUGUGGAUUUGUGAGAAAACUCUACUCCUCACAAAUGUUCAGAUCGUGAACAUUUGCCUAGCAGAGAGAAAACACGGCACAUUUGCACAUUCUUG